CCUACGGGGGGCAGCAGUGAGGAAUAUUGGUCAAUGGACGAGAGUCUGAACCAGCCAAGUAGCGUGAAGGAUGACUGCCCUAUGGGUUGUAAACUUCUUUUAUAUGGGAAUAAAAUGUUCCACGUGUGGGAUUUUGUAUGUACCAUAUGAAUAUGGCUCGGCUAACUCCGUGCCAGCAGCCGCGGUAAUACGGAGGAUUCGAGCGUUAUCCGGAUUUAUUGGGUUUAAAGGGAGCGUAGGUGGAUUGUUAAGUCAGUUGUGAAAGUUUGCGGCUCAACCGUAAAAUUGCAGUUGAAACUGGCAGUCUUGAGUACAGUAGAGGUGGGCGGAAUUCGUGGUGUAGCGGUGAAAUGCUUAGAUAUCACGAAGAACUCCGAUUGCGAAGGCAGUUCACUGGACUGCAACUGACACUGAGGCUCGAAAGUGUGGGUAUCAAACAGGAUUAGAUACCCCGGUAGUC
rnacentral:rRNA from 1 species